AAAAUUUAUCUGUUAUUAUAUAUACACACAUUUUGUGAUAUAUAGACUCUCCACGAUCUCUUCACCGCUCUUUUUUUUCUUUAUUCAGCCAUUUCUCUCGCCAUUAUCAAGGGACACAACUCAACACCUUUGUGAAACCGUAAUUGAUACGAUGAGAAUCACACAUAGCGUCAAGCUCUUACUCUUCUUUUUUCUCAUCUCUCUCCUCCUCAUCUCCGUAUCUGCUGGCGAGUCUAAGUGCGAGUGUUUACACGAAGAAGACGAAGGAAACAAAGCGGGAGCCAGGAAAUACAAGAUCGCUGCCAUACCUUCCGUUCUCGUCGCUGGAGUUAUUGGCGUUCUCUUUCCGUUGCUAGGAAACUUCUUUCCGUCGUUAAGACCGGAGACGAACUUCUUCUUCGUGACAAAAGCCUUCGCCGCAGGAGUAAUCUUGGCCACGGGGUUUAUGCACGUGCUGCCUGAAGGCUACGAGAAGCUUACGUCACCUUGUCUGAAAGGAGAAGCUUGGAAGUUUCCGUUCACUGGGUUCAUUGCGAUGGUCGCAGCGAUUUUAACUCUCUCCGUUGACUCUUUUGCCACGUCAUAUUUUCAUAGAUUGCAUAAUAAGACGUCUAAGAAGAUCGGUGAAGGUGAAGAGCAAAUCGGUGGCGGUGGUGGUGGAGACGAGCUAGGGUUGCACGUGCAUGCUCAUGGUCACGCGCACGGAAUUGUCAGCGUAGAUUCCGGUGAAUCCGAGGUUCAGCUUCACCGUACUCGAGUUGUGGCCCAGGUGUUGGAGGUGGGAAUAAUAGUACACUCAGUGGUAAUAGGAAUAUCCCUGGGAGCAUCACAAAGUCCACACACUGCCAAAGCUCUCUUUGCUGCUUUAAUGUUUCAUCAAUGCUUCGAAGGUCUUGGCCUUGGUGGUUGCAUCGCUCAGGUUUCCUCCAUUGCUUCAGACAAAACUCAACACACAGAGUGAGUGACCGACCUUUGGUAUUUUCAACUGCGGUUACUCUUCUUCAAUCUCUACACCUUCUUGCCUUUAAUAUUCACCAUUAAUGGUUGUGAUUCGUAACCCCUCCGUGAACCCUCCUUAUAUAUAAUAUGAACGAGUCCAUGGAUUCUCACCAAAAACAACUUUUCUUUUUUUUCCGAUAAGGUUGAAGUGAGGUAUCGAUUGCUAUAAGAUGGAGACGACUCAUCUUCCACCGCGUUUGAUCCGCAUGCACGUAAGACGACUAUCUCUCCAAGUGUGUACCGCCACGCGCCGCUUUCUCCGAAGAGGAAGACGAUCCAUAGAAAGCGGAGGUGGCGGCCGUCUCUCUCUGUCAUUUCGGAGGAUGCAUCCACCGUCAUCGCCGGAGAGAAGAGUAGUAACCGUCGAAGGACUAAUGUCUCGCUUGGAAAAUCUGUUGCCCGAAGAAUGACACCGUUCUCACAUAGAGAGAUGACACUGAAGAGAGCCUGGUAAUAAAAUUACCGUCUGAUUUUGUUAUUGGUUUACCGUUUCUGGUUGCAUUAAAACAAUUUGCUCUCGACUGUUUAGUGUUUAUUAUAAAAGUUUACCACCGAUGUUACUUUCACAAUAGAUUACAAAGCUGUCAAUUGUUUGUAUAUUUAUUUAUUAAGGAAUAGGAGAAACUCUAUUUUUUGUUUGAAGGCAGGAGAAACACUACAACAUAUCGUAUAUCAUCGCCGGGAUUUGCUCCUUCUCGGUUCAUGUAUUGAAGUGUGUUAUCCUUUCUUCACCC